rnacentral:rRNA from 1 species
UACGUAGGGUGCAAGCGUUAAUCGGAAUUACUGGGCGUAAAGCGUGCGCAGGCGGUUUUGUAAGUCUGACGUGAAAUCCCCGGGCUCAACCUGGGAAUUGCGUUGGAGACUGCAAGGCUAGAAUCUGGCAGAGGGGGGUAGAAUUCCACGUGUAGCAGUGAAAUGCGUAGAGAUGUGGAGUAACACCGAUGGCGAAGGCAGCCCCCUGGGUCAAGAUUGACGCUCAUGCACGAAAGCGUGGGGAGCAAACAGG